CGCACUGACUCUUCCAGCUUCAGAGAUCACAAGACCUCUACCACAUGGUUUGCUGCGCUGCAGACCGGAGAUUUAGCACACCGGACAUCCAGGGAGGGAGACCACUGGACCCACCACAUAAUGGAUUACUGCAAAUAAAAAAUAGUAUUUUGUGGAAGGAUGAUCACAUUGUCACUCACCUGACACACUGUCACCCACACAGUCAAC